rnacentral:tRNA from 2 species
CCCCGGUUAGCUCAGUUGGUAGAGCGCUCCACUUUUAACGGAGAGGUCACGGGUUUGAUACCCGGACCAGGCG